rnacentral:rRNA from 1 species
UACGUAGGGGGCAAGCGUUGUCCGGAAUUAUUGGGCGUAAAGCGCGCGCAGGCGGUCAUUUAAGUUUGGUGUUUAAUUCCAGGGCUCAACCCUGGGUCGCACUGAAAACUGGGUGACUUGAGUACAGAAGAGGAGAGUGGAAUUCCACGUGUAGCGGUGAAAUGCGUAGAUAUGUGGAGGAACACCAGUGGCGAAGGCGACUCUCUGGGCUGUAACUGACGCUGAGGCGCGAAAGCGUGGGUAGCAAACAG